rnacentral:rRNA from 1 species
UGGGGAAUAUUGGACAAUGGGCGAAAGCCUGAUCCAGCCAUGCCGCGUGUGUGAAGAAGGUCUUCGGAUUGUAAAGCACUUUAAGUUGGGAGGAAGGGCAGUAAGCGAAUACCUUGCUGUUUUGACGUUACCGACAGAAUAAGCACCGGCUAACUCUGUGCCAGCAGCCGCGGUAAUACAGAGGGUGCAAGCGUUAAUCGGAAUUACUGGGCGUAAAGCGCGCGUAGGUGGUUCGUUAAGUUGAAUGUGAAAGCCCCGGGCUCAACCUGGGAACUGCAUUCAAAACUGGCGAGCUAGAGUAGGGCAGAGGGUGGUGGAAUUUCCUGUGUAGCGGAGAAAUGCGUAGAUAUAGGAAGGAACACCAGUGGCGAAGGCGACCACCUGGGCUCAUACUGACACUGAGGUGCGAAAGCGUGGGGAGCAAACAGG